CGUUAAAAGAAAUAUUUUCUGUAAAUAACUUAAGAGGUUACUGCUUCUACUCAGCCAUUUAACGA
rnacentral:tRNA from 1 species